rnacentral:rRNA from 1 species
AGUCGUAACAAGGUUUCCGUAGGUGAACCUGCGGAAGGAUCAUUACCAAAACAAAAUAAACUAAGCGUUCCCGCUCACGAGAGGCUUCAAAACUUUAAACUGAGCACGCGUUAUGUUUGCGUGAAGAAACAUGCGUCCCCGUUAUCCGUCCCUCAGGCCGGUGUGUGGUGGCGUAACAUUCCCACUACCCUAUGUUUACCUACCUUUGUUGCUUUGGCGGGCCGCGGCCUCCGCUGCGGGCUCACGCUCGCACGUGCCCGCCAGAGGACCCAACUCUUGAUUUUAGUGAUGUCUGAGUACUAUUAAAUAGUUAAAACUUUCAACAACGGAUCUCUUGGUUCUGGCAUCGAUGAAGAACGCAGCGAAAUGCGAUAAGUAAUGUGAAUUGCAGAAUUCAGUGAAUCAUCGAAUCUUUGAACGCACAUUGCGCCCGCUGGUAUUCCGGCGGGCAUGCCUGUUCGAGCGUCAUUAUGACCAACUCACGCUCCGCGUGGNCUUGGGGUCCGCUGUCACGGCGGCCCCUAAACGCAGUGNCGGUGCCGUGCGGCUCUCAGCGUAGUAAUUUAUCUCGCUACAGGGUCCGGACGGUGCUGGCCAGCAACCCCAACUUCUUUAGGUUGACCUCGGAUCAGGUAGGGAUACCCGCUGAACUUAAGCAUAUCAAUAAGCGGAGGAAAAGAAACCAACAGGGAUUACCUCAGUAACGGCGAGUGAAGCGGUAACAGCUCAAAUUUGAAAUCUGGCUCUUUCAGGGUCCGAGUUGUAAUUUGUAGAAGAUGCUUCGAGUGUGGUCCCGGUCUAAGUUCCUUGGAACAGGACGUCAUAGAGGGUGAGAAUCCCGUAUGCGACUGGGUGCCUUCGCUCAUGUGAAGCUCUUUCGACGAGUCGAGUUGUUUGGGAAUGCAGCUCAAAAUGGGUGGUAAAUUUCAUCUAAAGCUAAAUAUUGGCCAGAGACCGAUAGCGCACAAGUAGAGUGAUCGAAAGAUGAAAAGCACUUUGGAAAGAGAGUUAAACAGUACGUGAAAUUGUUGAAAGGGAAGCGCUUGCAACCAGACUUGCCCGCCGUCGAUCAUCCGGGGUUCUCCCCGGUGCACUCGGCGGCGUUCAGGCCAGCAUCGGUUUCGGUGGUGGGAUAAAGGCCUUGGGAAUGUAGCUUCUUUCGGGGAGUGUUAUAGCCCUCGGUGCAAUGCCGCCUACCGGGACCGAGGACCGCGCUUCGGCUAGGAUGCUGGCGUAAUGGUUGUAAGCGACC